GCCCAAAUGGUCUAAUGGUAUGAUUCGCCCUUUGGGAGCCACUUAUGGGUGAGGUUGCGUGUUCGAUUCGCGCUUUGGGCC